GACGAACGCUGGCGGCGUGCUUAACACAUGCAAGUCGAACGGAAAGGCCCUGCGUUUGUGGGGUGCUCGAGUGGCGAACGGGUGAGUAACACGUGAGUAACCUGCCCUUGACUUUGGGAUAACUUCAGGAAACUGGGGCUAAUACCGGAUAGGAGCUCCUGCUGCAUGGUGGGGGUUGGAAAGUUUCGGCGGUUUGGGAUGGUCUCGCGGCUUAUCAGCUUGUUGGUGGGGUAGUGGCUUACCAAGGCUUUGACGGGUAGCCGGCCUGAGAGGGUGACCGGCCACAUUGGGACUGCGAUACGGACCAGACUCCUACGGGAGGCAGCAGUGGGGAAUAUUGCACAAUGGGCGGAAGCCUGAUGUGGCAACGCCGCGUGCGGGAUGACGGCCUACGGGUUGUAAACCGCUUUCGCCUGUGACGAAGCGGGAGUGACGGUAAUGGGUAAAGAAGCACCGGCUAACUACGUG
rnacentral:rRNA from 1 species